UCUCCGUAGGUGAACCUGCGGAGGGAUCAUUACAGAGUUCUCGCCCUCGCGGGUGGAUCUCCCACCCACUGUUAUCGUUACUGUGUUGCUUUGGCGGGCCGCCGGGCCCCGCUCGGCCGCCGGCACCGGCUGGCGCGCGCCCGCCAGAGGCCCAGCAAACUCUGAAUGUUAGUGUCGUCUGAGUACUAUAUAAUAGUUAAAACUUUCAACAACGGAUCUCUUGGUUCUG
rnacentral:misc_RNA from 1 species